CUUUCUUUCCUUUUUAUCUUUCUUUUCUCUAUUUCCUUUUUCGUCCUUCUUUUCUUUUUCUUUCUUUUUCCUUUCUUUUUCUUGUCCUUUCUUCGCUCUCCCCCUCCCCCUCUCUCUCCACCUGCCCCUCUCUCCCCACCUGCCUCCCUCUCCCCACCUCCCCAUAUCUCUCCCCAUCCCCUCUCUCCAGAAAUUUCAUUUCAGCAGACAUAAUGACAACAAACAUGUCAGGUGGCCUUGUGAUGCAUAAAAAUGCCAAGAUCGGGACAUCAGCGCCACAAACUUCAAUCCCCCGCCUGGCUCAUUUGUUACUCUUUUGGUUACCGACUAUUACAAAUGGCAGCAGACUGGAAGCACUCCGAGUCACAUGAGCCAAGGAAGAGCCUGAUCAAGGAGGACAGAAUGGGUAACUCCAAAACCAUAACUCUGUCAAACAUAAAGAUUUUGGUAAAGGCAUUCACUAAGAGAUUGGUGCUUGCUUGUAGUUUAGUUGGAAAGGUAGAAAUAUGGACAAUUCCAGCAGGUCUCUUCACAACGACCAUCAGCUCAAAUGAUGUAUGGUAGAGAAAGACAACACUAGAUCUGGUUGAAUAAUUUAGAUCAGUUUAAAACAGACACAUGAAGGCAUGUGACCUAGUGGUUAGGGUGGUGCACUCCCAAUCACCAGAUCGUGUUUUCAAUUCCCACAUCUAUCCUUGGGAAUGGAUCUUAUUUUGUCCAUUUGAAUUCAUGAUCAUACCAUUUCAGAGCAAUGAGUGAGAUGACUGGGUAAUGUCCAUAAUUUUCAUUGGUUUUGCUCCAGUAUCCAGCCAGAUCAUUUGUCGGCGGUUACUUCUGAUAGGACCAUCUAAGGACUCUUCCUCCUCAACCACUUCCUGGAAUAUUGGGAAAUAUAGACGAACAAAUGGAAAGGUUCUUUUAUGAGACUUGCUGGAAGUCUGCUCCCUGGCUGGUUUUUACACCUCUGACCCACAAUCUGUGUAAUAUUCCUUAUAUGUUUGAUAUUCCUUUAACUCCUUUAUUUGUCUAAUAGUACUUGUUCAGUAAAUAAAUUUAGAACAAUACCAAGCACUCAAAGACAGUGUUAGAAUCUACGAGGAAAUCAGGUAUUGUGUUUGACUUAGCCAUAUAAAUAGUAUAAUAUUCAACAACACACAACAAAUACGAAACAAUACUGGAAUCAACAUAAUUUUGCUGAUGCCGGAUUAAACUUAUAAUUUGGAGAAAUAGUUUUACUUAUAUGUUUGAAGACAAUAGAAUUGCAAAUAUUUAGGCAACCUUUAUAUUUCCAAAAGUAGUAUAAACAGAAGCAUUAAAAAAUUACCUCAUAGUGUAAGAUGACAAGGUUAGAUCAAUAAAAAUUAGUUUUGUGGUUUGAUUAAAUUGUGAAAUCUUCAAUAAUAAUAAUGAUAAAACUUUAAAUUUUUAUUUUUACGGAGAUGCACUUGCAUAGCAAGUGACCUGAUCUGAGAUCGUGUGCUGGAACGAAAACAAUUGCAGCGUGGAAGGUGUUUAUAAGCCAUUUAAAAUAACAUACAAAAUCCGUUAGAUUCACUUCAACAUUUAAAUUUUUAUGAAAGAUUAAAAUUGGAAUUUAUAAAAAUUUUCUGGACAGUGUAGACUUCAAUAAUUACUUUCUUUUAGUAAAAGUUGCAUACUCCAAACUAAUUAACAAGCAGCUUUCUUUAUUAUAAAUUGUUGUCACAAAAAAGUUUUUUUUUUUCUCUCUUUGUCUCUUUCUAGGGGAUACUUCAAAUGCGACAGUGACUGUUGCAGUAUUACUCAGUCUACUAGCAGUCUUUGUAUUUAUUGCUGUUGUUGCGUGUCUUUACAUGAAAUACAAAAGGAAAAACUUGACGAACCUGUUCAGUAAGCUGUAUUUCAGAUCUGACCAAGAUGAUCUUUUGGUGAACAUGGAAGAUGUGAACACACAAGAAAGCCAUUUUAACAACCCUUACUAUAACCAGUUAUCUGUCUAACAACCAGAAAAAGAAAUGUUGAUGCCGACCACAACCAGCUACUCAGGAUACAUACACAGUACAUAUCAACUGCUACUACUACUAACACUACUAUUAUUACAAAGCUAUGCACAUGGCAUAAGACAUAUCAGAACUAACACACGGCUCAGUUACCCACAAUAAAUACAUAGCUUAGCUGCUACCUAGAACACACACAGAGAUCAGUUGUCACAAGACAUACAUGGAAAAGCAGACAGACAAAGGAAAAGACAUCUCUAUCUGUUUGUCUGUCUGUCUGUCUCUCUCUCUUUUGCCUUCUCUAAUUAUCAAGGUUGUGUGUGAGUACAUCAUAUAUGUGUGUAUAAGACUAAGAGUCAGGAAAAAUGUACUUGUAUAUCUGUCAACAGCAUAGGUAUAUUAUCUGAAGUGUACAGUAUUAUAUAUCCUUUACGGCUGAUCAUUUUAAUCUUAUCAAGAAAAAGAAGGACAGUCGCCAUAUUUCAUUCCAUAUCGGCUACCUCUGAUGAGCGCAGGGUUACAUAAUCAGAUUGUUACCUAACACUCUGUUGAAUCCCUAGCACGAAACCAAUUGGUAAGAUUGGCCAUAAUGGAUAUAUAAUACCGUACACUUUGGAUAGUGUGUACAUACAUACAUACAUACACACAUAUAUGCACACACACACACACACACAUAUACAGACACAUACACAUAUAUAUACACACAUAUAUACCCACACAUACAUACACACAUAUACACACACACACACAUACAUAUAUACACAUACACACAUAUAUAUAACGAUGAUGAUUUUAUAUAUAUAUAUAUAUAUACAUUGAUCCAGGAAAGAGAUGAUAAAGUUUUUAUUUUUCAUUUCGUUCCUUUCGGAAUUUUAUCCCUAAGUUUGUGGUUCUAGAACCUAGCAGUUCUUUCUAGCGUAAGGAAUCCUAUGAGUGGAUUCCUCUUAUGUAUUUAAAUAUACACUGUACCU